UCAUGUUAUAGGCUUCAGCUAACUUUAUUAGAGAUCAUUAUUUAAUAGAAUUCAAACUGGUUCGAAUUCCUAUUUCCGGCCCUUUAAAUUUAAAAGUAGGCGCGCGGAAAAGGCGCCUAAACAGCAGAGAGGAUCGGCUGGAGAAUUGACGGUUGAAAACUGCACAAAGUAAAGUCAAGAUCCUCCUGCUGUAAAAACCAGCAUUGACCAGCAUGAAUUCCCUUUCACUCACUGUUUCCCAACCUGCAGUCGGUUCAGCACGAAACAUCAGGCUCACAGCAACAGAUUAAGAAGAAUCCUGCAUCAAAAGAUGACUUCAACUUGCAUGUGAGACAGAGUGAGAAGAGAAAAAGAGGAAUGAAGAUGGACUGUCUAAGAAACCUGUUUUGUUCAUAACGGAACUUGCAUCUAUCUCCCACGAAUGUAGAAUGCUGAAGGCGAGCAGAAAUGAGAAAAGUUAUGCUACAGCUCUCUGUUUGCAGCAUGUCAGUCACGCUCGUCUGGAAAGUGAGUGAAACACACACACAAACACACAUUUUUAUCAAAUAAUACGGCAUUAAUAGCGGUUCACUUCCACAACUUGGUGCGUUUGCAUUUAUAUCAGAAGCGAACUGUACCUGAGUUCACUUGAACCGCACCCCAGACCACCCUUUUUAAGCGGACUCGGGUACGGUUCGUGGGUGUCCGCAGUUAAACACAGCACACAGUUACUCCUCGUGUUUGCUGGAUAAUGAUAUAAUGAUAUUAUAUUUAAUCCUCCAAAAUCACUGUGCAAUAAUGAGUGUGUUAAGUGAAUAAAUGUAAACUCUAUGAAUGAAAUGAGCGCAAAUCAAAUAGCUGUAUUGCUGUUGCCUCUCCAUGUGCCACAAAUCAGCUUGGAAAGAAUAAAUCAACUGAAAUACUUAGUGCUUUUUCCAGUUUAACGCAUUAAAAUAUUUAACACAGUUAAUGCAGCAUACGUUUUUUUUGUUUUGUUUGUUUCAUCCUUUGGCUAGCAUUACAAUAUAUGAUUACGCUCUUAUUUCUGUGAAUGCUUUUAAACCAUUUAAGCGCACCAAAAGAGAAAAAGAGAACGCACUGUCUGUGAAUGUCCUGUCACACACACGACGCACAGAAAGACAUGCACCAGUAUAGUGAGCAUGGACGGCCCACCAGUAUCGAGUUCUCUGUCAUGCUUGAAGAAACAA